GUUGGGUGAUGGGUACAAAAGUACACCUAUAGUCCCUCCUUUGGAGGCUGAGACAAGAGGAUUGCUUGAGGCCAGGAGUAUGUAGUCCACACUAAGUUCUGGCAUCAAUUUGGUGAUCUCUCAGGAGCAGGAGACCACUGGGUGGCCUAAAGGAAGAGGCGAGCCAGCCCAGGUUAGAAAUGGAGCAGGUCAGAACUCCUGUGCAGAUCAGUAGAAGAGGGAUCAUGCUUGUGAACUGCCACAGUCCUCUAGUCUGGUCCACAUAACAAGACCCAGUCUCU
rnacentral:SRP_RNA from 1 species